AUGCCUACGGGACGCAGCAGUGGGGGAUAUUGCACAAUGGGGGAAACCCUGAUGCAGCGACGCCGCGUGAGUGAAGAAGUAUUUCAGUAUGUAAAGCUCUAUCAGCAGGGAAGAAAAAAGACGGUACCUGACUAAGAAGCCCCGGCUAACUACGUGCCAGCAGCCGCGGUAAUACGUAGGGGGCAAGCGUUAUCCGGAUUUACUGGGUGUAAAGGGAGCGUAGACGGCAAUACAAGUCGGAAGUGAAAUACCACGGCUCAACCUGGACACUGCUUUGGAAACUGUAUAGCU
rnacentral:rRNA from 1 species